rnacentral:rRNA from 1 species
AUUGAACGCUGGCGGCAUGAUUUACACAUGCAAGUCGAACGGUAACAGGCCGCAAGGUGCUGACGAGUGGCGAACGGGUGAGUAAUGCAUCGGAACGUGCCCAGUCGUGGGGGAUAACUACUCGAAAGAGUAGCUAGUACCGCAUACGAUCUAUGGAUGAAAGCGGGGGACCGUAAGGCCUCGCGCGAUUGGAGCGGCCGAUGUCAGAUUAGGUAGUUGGUGGGGUAAAGGCUCACCAAGCCAACGAUCUGUAGCUGGUCUGAGAGGACGACCAGCCACACUGGGACUGAGACGCGGCCCAGACUCCUACGGGAGGCAGCAGUGGGGAAUUUUGGACAAUGGGCGCAAGCCUGAUCCAGCAAUGCCGCGUGCAGGAAGAAGGCCUUCGGGUUGUAAACUGCUUUUGUACGGAACGAAACGGCUCCGGUUAAUACCCGGGGCUAAUGACGGUACCGUAAGAAUAAGCACCGGCUAACUACGUG